rnacentral:rRNA from 1 species
GACGAACGCUGGCGGCGUGCUUAACACAUGCAAGUCGAACGCUGAACCCGCUUCGGUGGGGGAUGAGUGGCGAACGGGUGAGUAACACGUGGGCAACCUGCCCCCGGCUCUGGGAUAACUCCAAGAAAUUGGGGCUAAUACCGGAUGUGACCGCUGGCCGCAUGGUCUGGUGGUGGAAAGGGUUUCCGGCUGGGGAUGGGCCCGCGGCCUAUCAGCUUGUUGGUGGGGUAGUGGCCUACCAAGGCGACGACGGGUAGCCGGCCUGAGAGGGUGACCGGCCACACUGGGACUGAGACACGGCCCAGACUCCUACGGGAGGCAGCAGUGGGGAAUAUUGCGCAAUGGGCGGAAGCCUGACGCAGCGACGCCGCGUGGGGGAUGACGGCCUUCGGGUUGUAAACCUCUUUCAGCAGGGACGAAGCGCGAGUGACGGUACCUGCAGAAGAAGCACCGGCCAACUACGUG